UAUUGGGCGUAAAGCGCGCGCAGGUGGUUUCUUAAGUCUGAUGUGAAAGCCCACGCCUCUACCGUGGAGGGUCAUUGGAAACUGGGAGACUUGAGUGCCUAAGAGGAAAGUGGAAUUCCAUGUGUAGCGGUGAAAUGCGUAGAGAUAUGGAGGAACACCAGUGGCGAAGGCGACUUUCUGGUCUGUAACUGACACUGAGGCGCGAAAGCGUGGGGAGCAAACAUGAUUACAUACCCUGGUAGUCCACGCCGUAAACGAUGAGUGCUAAGUGUUAG
rnacentral:rRNA from 1 species